GAUGAACGCUGGCGGCGUGCCUAAUACAUGCAAGUCGAGCGAACAGACGAGGAGCUUGCUCCUCUGACGUUAGCGGCGGACGGGUGAGUAACACGUGGAUAACCUACCUAUAAGACUGGGAUAACUUCGGGAAACCGGAGCUAAUACCGGAUAAUAUAUUGAACCGCAUGGUUCAAUAGUGAAAGACGGUUUUGCUGUCACUUAUAGAUGGAUCCGCGCCGCAUUAGCUAGUUGGUAAGGUAACGGCUUACCAAGGCAACGAUGCGUAGCCGACCUGAGAGGGUGGUAGGCCACACUGGAACUGAGACACGGUCCAGACUCCUACGAGAGGCAGCAGUAGGGAAUCUUCCGCAAUGGGCGAAAGCCUGACGGAGCAACGCCGCGUGAGUGAUGAAGGUCUUCGGAUCGUAAAACUCUGUUAUUAGGGAAGAACAAAUGUGUAAGUAACUAUGCACGUCUUGACGGUACCUAAUCAGAAAGCCACGGCUAACUACGUG
rnacentral:rRNA from 1 species